rnacentral:rRNA from 1 species
GACGAACGCUGGCGGCGUGCUUAACACAUGCAAGUCGAACGGAAAGGCCCGGCUUUUGUGGGUUGCUCGAGUGGCGAACAGGUGAGUAACACGCGAGUAACCUCCCCUUGACUUUGGGAUAACUUCUGGAGACUCGGGCUAAUACCGGAUAGGAGCUCCUGCUGCACGUUGGUGGUUGGAAAGUUUCGGUGGUUGGGGAUGGUCUCGCAGGUUAUCGGCUUGUUGGUGGGGUAGUGGCUUACAAAGGUUUUGACGGGUAGCCUGCCUGAGAGGGUGACCGGCCACAUUGGGACUGCGGUACGGCCCAGACGGCUACGGGAGGCAGCAGGGGGGAAUAUUGCAGAAUGGGCGGAAGCGAGAUGCAGAAACGCCGCGUGCGGGAUGACGGGCUUCGGGUUGUAAACCACUUUCGCCUGUGACGAAGAGUGAGUGACGGUAAUGGGUAAGGAAGCAACGGCUAACUACGUG